rnacentral:rRNA from 1 species
CGACCCCAGGUCAGGUGGGAAUACCCGCUGAGUUUAAGCAUAUCAAU